AGCGAACGCUGGCGGCAGGCCUAACACAUGCAAGUCGAACGAGCCCUUCGGGGUUAGUGGCGGACGGGUGAGUAACACGUGGGAACGUGCCUUUAGGUUCGGAAUAACUCAGGGAAACUUGUGCUAAUACCGAAUGUGCCCUUCGGGGGAAAGAUUUAUCGCCUUUAGAGCGGCCCGCGUCUGAUUAGCUAGUUGGUGAGGUAAAGGCUCACCAAGGCUACGAUCAGUAGCUGGUCUGAGAGGAUGACCAGCCACAUUGGGACUGAGACACGGCCCAAACUCCUACGGGAGGCAGCAGUGGGGAAUCUUGCGCAAUGGGCGAAAGCCUGACGCAGCCAUGCCGCGUGGAUGAUGAAGGUCUUAGGAUUGUAAAAUCCUUUCACCGGUGAAGAUAAUGACUGUAGCCGGAGAAGAAGCCCCGGCUAACUUCGUGCCAGCAGCCGCAGUAAGAC
rnacentral:rRNA from 1 species